rnacentral:rRNA from 1 species
UGCAGUCGACGAACCUUUAGGGGUUUAGUGGCGGACGGGUGAGUAACGCGUGAGAAUCUGGCUUCAGGUCUGGGACAACCACUGGAAACGGUGGCUAAUACCGGAUGUGCCGAGAGGUGAAAGGUUAACUGCCUGAAGAUGAGCUCGCGUCUGAUUAGCUAGUUGGCAGUGUAAUGGACUACCAAGGCGACGAUCAGUAGCUGGUCUGAGAGGACGAUCAGCCACACUGGGACUGAGACACGGCCCAGACUCCUACGGGAGGCAGCAGUGGGGAAUUUUCCGCAAUGGGCGAAAGCCUGACGGAGCAAUACCGCGUGAGGGAGGAAGGCUCUUGGGUCGUAAACCUCUUUUCUCAGGGAAGAACACAAUGACGGUACCUGAGGAAUAAGCAUCGGCUAACUCCGUGCCAGCAGCCGCGGUAAUACGGAGGAUGCAAGCGUUAUCCGGAAUGAUUGGGCGUAAAGCGUCCGCAGGUGGCGAAGUAAGUCUGCUGUUAAAGCGUCUAGCUCAACUAGAUAAGAGCAGUGGAAACUACUUACGCUAGAGUGCGUUCGGGGCAGAGGGAAUUCCUGGUGUAGCGGUGAAAUGCGUAGAGAUCAGGAAGAACACCAGUGGCGAAGCGCUCUGCUAGCCGCAACUGACACUGAAGGGACGAAAGCUAGGGAGCGAAUGGGAUUAGAAUACCCCAGUAGUCCUAGCCGUAAACGAUGGAAUACUAGGCGGUGGCUUGUAUCGACCGAGCCGUGCCGUAGCUAACGCGUUAAGUAUCCCGCUGGGGAGUACGCGCACGGUGAAACUCAGAUGACGGGGC